AGAGAGAGAGAGAGAGAGAGAGAGAGAGGAGCGAAGGACAGAGAGAGAGACAUCGAAAGCAAUGGACCAAUAUUACCUUUUUUUUUCAAAUAGACUGUAUCUUAGUUCUCGCUUUUUUACACCGUGUUGCAGAGGGAUGGCAGAUGUCGUGAGUCUUAUUUUUUGACGGUUCACCUUGUCGUCCCUGACUGGGACCAGAAUACCAGACUCCAGAGAGCGAGCCGUCGCAGGCUGGGAGCGAUGAGUCACGCGCUUACGGCUUACAGCCAGAACCACCUCUCCAAACCGUCGCAUGUCAGAUUCAUCUGUUUACAAAACAACACAUAAAUACAGCCAUACCUCCCUCUGGGCUCGGUUAGAAAACAACUCCACAAUAACACUAGUCUAACUUAGAAAAGCCUUUAUUAUAUUCAUACCAUAGUCUGAUCCGUGGUCAUCAGUACCAAGGUUUUAUCCACUGUAACAACAUCAACAUAAAACCUUGACAGUAGACAGGCUUCACAGUUAUCCUUUAGUGUGACACCUGAUAGUUUUGCGACAAUAGAGAGAGAGAGAGAGAGAGAGAGAGAGAGAGAGAGAGAGAGAGAGUACCUCCAGUGCUCCAUUGUCCUCUGGUGAGCGAGGAGCAGAGCAGAAGCUCGCUGCUAGUGUCAGACUCCUGAACACAUUUCCCCUGAACCCUCCAGACUCGGGCUCUGUGCCAGGUCUCAGUCCAAGGCUUUGUAGUGGUUACCGGUUGUUUCCUGUUGUUUAGCUUUUUUCCCUGGAUUGCCUGUUUCCAGUGUGUCUCUCUGACAGACACUUAUUUUCUUCCUGACGUGGGUAGGGCACUGUGGUGGGUGGGUGGGUGUUGGGUGGGGAUUUGAAAGCGAUCCUCCAGCAUGAGGAUUAACAAACUUUACUGCCACUGGCGAUGGCCACCUUAAGAGAUUCUAGGACCAUUUAAGGAAGAUCUAGCCCAUGGCCCCUCUUGAGGUUAACUGUAACCAUUGUUUGUACUUUUGUUCUAGUGGGGUGAUUCUAGAGGGCAAUGAUCCCCUCACAACCAACGUCAAAUAAUCCCCUUUGAUUGAAAACAACAACAAGUACAUUCAGGAUAAGAGGGAGAAAAAGACACAGAGUCAAAAGUGUGAACCCUUGGGCAGGUCUUCCAUGUUGGUGUGGAUUAAGGACCCGGGUUUCAGUUCACCCAAUAGCAACCAGGCCAGCUUUACGCUGUAAUCCCCCGACCCCCACCACCCACACACACACAAUCACAUGCACAGAACAAAUCCACCAUAUCAGGCUGAAUGUAGGCCAAACACUACACAGAAACCAACAUACAAAAGAAUUGCCGCCACUAAAAAAAGGAUUCUUGCUUUUAUCACAGCAUACUUCAUCAAUUGGAUCAUCUCGUCCCCCUGUAACAACUGAUUUGUGCUUAAGCCUUUCCAGAUGACAAUGUGCAUUUAGGAGAUUUCCCUAGCAGCCCUCUGGAACCCUUAUACCAUCCUUAAAAAAAUGUGUGUGUGUCCCUGUGUGUGUGUGUGUCCCUGUGUGUGUGUGUGUGUGUGUGUGUGUGUGUGUGUGUGUGUGUGUGUGUGUGUGUGUGUGUGUGUGUGUGUACUAUUUGUGACCACUGUCCCUCUCUCUCUCUCUCUGUCUGUCAUUCGCUUCACUCUGUGCGUUUCUCAUCCUCCCGUGUGUUGAUUGCGCCUCCAUUUUGUUGUUGGGUUUGAUUGCGAAGGUAAACACGCCCUGACUGGAGCAGAGACGAGAGUCUUUAGCGUAAACAUUAGAGGAGGAGGGAAAAUUAAACGGGACUGCAACGUUUUCACUCUUGUUUUGUCUUUAGCACCUCAGCGGCAGACCUGUCAUUAUGUCGGACUAUGUUUUGUGUUACUGAACCAAAGCUCAACAAACUUUAUUUUUGUACUAUAUUCAUUUUAUAACUUUUUACAGAAUUAAACUUGUUUAUAUUAAA